rnacentral:tRNA from 1 species
UUAUUCAACUAUAGGAACCUUA